GAAAGGUGCUUUCAUAGGUGCUGGCUGG
rnacentral:piRNA from 1 species